rnacentral:lncRNA from 1 species
CAAUGAAAUUUCCAACCGACGAAGAAGAAUGCUUUAAGGUGGAGCCACUAGAAGCUGUUGAAAAGUCUGAGAUGGAGCAAAAGCCAAGGCCAUGUACCUUAGAGAGCGUCUUAACAGGGGAUUCUGAUUUCGAAGAUGAAGGAGUAGAAGAGCUUAGAAAUUUUCAGGAGCAUCUUAAACCAUCUAUUGAAGAAGCUCCUAUAAUCGAACUCAAACUACCACCGGAUCUCUUAAGUGAUGUGCAGUUUAGAAGGUUGUCACGGCGCAUAGAUGACAUGCAUGACAUUCA